rnacentral:tRNA from 2 species
CAGAAAAUAGUUUAUUUAAAAUAUUAAUUUUGGGGAUUAAUGAUAGGGAUUUCUCUUUUUCUGA